rnacentral:rRNA from 1 species
AAUGAACGCUGGCGGCGUGGUUAAGACAUGCAAGUCGAACGGUUUUUUGGUAUAGCAAUAUAUUAGAAAAGCAGUGGCGAACGGGUGCGUAACACGUGAACAAUCUACCUUUUAGUGGGGAAUAGCUCGCCGAAAGGCGAAUUAAUACCGCGUAUGAUUAUGUCUCUCAUGGGAUGUAUAUCAAAGUCGGGGACCGCAAG